GUGGAGCUGAGGGUGGAAGGGGAGUGAGCUGACGCUCGGAAGGUGUCUUGAGAUUAUCAUCCGCUGAGGGUGGAAGCGGCCCCCGCAGACGCUCGGCAGGUGUCUUGAGAUUAUCAUCUGCUGAGGGUGGAAGCGGCCCCCGCAGACGCUCGGCAGGUGUCUUGAUAUUAUCAUCUGCUGAGGGUGGAGCUGAGGGUGGAAGGGGAGUGAGCUGACGCUCGGAAGGUGUCUUGAGAUUAUCAUCCGCUGAGGGUGGAAGCGGCCCCCGCAGACGCUCGGCAGGUGUCUUGAGAUUAUCAUCUGCUGAGGGUGGAAGCGGCCCCCGCAGACGCUCGGCAGGUGUCUUGAUAUUAUCAUCUGCUGAGGGUGGAGCUGAGGGUGGAAGGGGAGUGAGCUGACGCUCGGAAGGUGUCUUGAGAUUAUCAUCCGCUCAGGGUGGAAGCGGCCCCCGCAGACGCUCGGCAGGUGUCUUGAUAUUAUCAUCUGCUGAGGGUGGAAGGGCAGUGAGCUGACGCUCGGAAGGUGUCUUGAGAUUAUCAUCCGCUGAGGGUGGAAGGGGAUGGAGCAGACACUCGGCACGUGUCUUGAGAUUAUCAUCCGCUGAGGGUGGAGCUGAGGGUAGAGCUGAGGGUGGAAGGGGAGUGAGCAGACACUCGGGAGGUGUCUUGAGAUUAUCAUCCGCUGAGGGUGGAAGGGGAGUGAGCAGACACUCAGGAGGUGUCUUGAGAUUAUCAUCCGCUGAGGGUGGAAGGGGAGUGAGCACACACUCGGGAGGUGUCUUGAGAUUAUCAUCCGCUGAGGGUGGAAGGGGAGUGAGCAGACACUCGGGAGGUGUCUUGAGGCUCAGGGAGUUAUCAGUUAUAGAAUGUUGUUGAGUUGGAGGAGGUGGCUGGUGGCCCAUCCUGU
rnacentral:lncRNA from 1 species